rnacentral:snRNA from 1 species
GUGCUUGCUUCGGCAGCACAUAUACUAAAUUGGAAAGAUACAGAGAAAAUUAGCAUGGUCCCUGUGCAAGGAUGACUCGCAAAUUAGUGAAGCGUUCCUUAUUUUU